ACCAACAAUUGCGGUAGAUAGGCAAGAUAAAGAUACACAGCAUAGUCUCUGUGCAGCUGGGUUACAUUAAAAAAUAAAUAACUAAAAACUUUCGGUGGGUAGGAAGUGAAGAAAGGAAGUAACGGCACAGUGGCUUAGCUUUCAAGCCAUUAUAAAAUAAAAUAAAUUCGUUUUUUAAAAAAUGAUAAUAAAAUAAAAUUAGAAACCGUGUUUCUUGUCGACCAGCUAUUUUUUUUUUUAAGUAACUACCGACUCUUUUGAUUUCCGAAAAUAUAAUUCAACCCAAUUUAGAAGACCACGUUCUAUCAACCGUCCACAUGUUUUAAAUCUUAGCCGUUCAUUUAAACAUCCUUUUGCUAUAAAUAGACCCUGGUUUCUUUCUCAUUCCUCAUCCCCAUUGAAGUUUCCAGAAUGGGGUCUUCUCUCUCUACCCCUACCUCCAUGGGUGCAAGAGCUCUCUGGUAUUUAUGAUCUGUUGUUAGCGUUUUUUAUUCGAAGAUUUGGUAUUGAUUGCAUAUCGCGACUUUGUUCUUCUAUCGAUAUACCUGAGUUUGAUUGAUGUUUGUGUGCGUUUUGUUCGAAUCGGUUAGUGAUCUCUCUCGAAAUUGAUUUAUGCAGAGGAUCAUUGAUUUACGCUUGGGAUUCUGAUUAGAUCGGUUUGGUUUGGAAUUUCGAUUAAUAUUUCUUAUUCGAUUCGAUUCAUUCUUCUUAUUUAGGGAUUCUUUUGGUUUAUUCAGCUUAUGGUGGCCUUGGGCUUUGUUUUGGUUUCAUCUGUGUUGAAAUAUGCAGAUUAUGGCCACAACCAUCGAGGUGAUUUUCACAUAACUGAAAUAUUUCUUUCGAUUACUUCGUUGAUGGUUAGCUUCGAUUGUUGAGGCUGGGACUGGGAGUGGCUCGGUGGAUUGCCCCUGUUUCGUGGUGUCCCAGGUUCUUUUUGGUUAAUUGAUGUUCUCUAAAAGCAUAUUGCCUAUUCAGAUUGUGAAAUUUCUUGAUUUAUUAAAUCAAAUCCCUUCUUCCAGCUUGCUGCAGAGGUUUGGCAAGAAAGGCUUAAGUUAUGCCAACUCCUCGUCUUAUCUAACGUUUGGCUCUGUUACCCUUAUUUCUGAGAGCGUUUAUCAUGUUGAACUUCUGAAAUCGUUUAAACUUUUUUUCUGAAUUUCCGGUUUCGAUCGUUGACUUUCUUCUUUCAAGGACGGGCGGAUGGUUUGGUAUGCUUACGUACACACAUUUAUAAAUGUAUAUGUUUCAAUUGAUAAAACUGCGGCAAUUCAUCCAAAUGGGUUUGACAUAGUAUCACCAUCCUUGCUUUUAUAUCUCCUUUUCUUCAUUGUGCUUUGUUUUGAAUCUCUUUCUGCCUCCUUUUUUGAGGGUCUUGGUAUGUUUCCUCUUUUAGGCGAUCGAGAGAAUGGGUCAAGGUCUUUUGCGUCGUUGCACUAUGGAGGGGGUGUAACAUGAUUAUUUGAUUUAUUUCAAUUCUUAUUUAUUCAUCCUCCUUUCAUGUGUUUUUUCUGCUAUGCUGUCCAUCUUAUCAUAUGCAUGUUCACUAAUUUCAGGUUCUUGACUUGCGUAAGGCUUCAAUAUUCUUUAAUCGGGUCUAUAUAAACAAGAAUUUAACCUUGGAAGGGAGUUAUUCCUGGACUAGUGUUUCCUCUUAAAUGUGUUUUUAUUUUCUAGAACUUAAGCUUCUGUCUUUGUGAGAUUUUUUGUUCAUGUCUUCCGUUUUGGGCAUUCAAUGAAUUUUCAGGGCUCUUCUGUCACUCGAGAAUUACUAAUCAUGGAUGCCUUAAUUGUCAUGCCGCAAGUCUUCGAUGUCCUCCGCGUCUCCAUUCCCAUUACUGCGGGUUUGAUUUGUUUCAUCACCUUUUUAUAUCGUGAUAAGAAUCUAUUUCCACAGAUGAUUCUCAGAGCAUCAUCUUUAUUCUGCACUUUGGGAAUUUGUAUUAGUAUUUAUAUACCUCUUGUAGAGGUUCAGAGGUUUUUUGCAAGUGCAAUUACUUUUGUUUGUUGUGUUUGUAACGAAUAGUUGGUUGUAGCCUUGUUGGAUUCUAUGUGAUAUUUGCAGAUCCCCCUAUGCUUAGAAUUCUGUGUGGGGUCUGGAUCUACAUUUGCGACCAGGACUUGUUGGGCUUUCUCAUUAAAAGGACAGAUAUUUAGUUUUUGACGUCGAGGUAGGUAUAAGUUUAGAUAUUUGGUUCAGAUUAUUAUGCAUGGUUUAUGUUUCUUAGCUCUGAUGGAUGCAGCAGAGGAUCGCUAGUAACUUACGCUUCGUACUUUUCCCGUGUAUUUAUAUUUGGAAAUUUUGAUCAAUACAUGACCAGCAGAGCAUGGUUUAUGUUUAUUUUUAUAUGCUCAAUUUUAUUUUGACUUCCUUUCCCCCUUGAUGAUGGUAUUUUCUCACCUAAAUGCGUCGUAUAUAGGUACUCCAAGUAUUUUCUGAAUACUCCAUUUAAUGUGAUAGUGGUGCUACUGGAGGUUUGGCAAUUCAUUCAUCUUAACUUGGGGUUGCAAUCUUUUGCGCUAUGGAAGUCUUCAGUUGAAUUAUUUUAUUAUGCCUGCCCCUUUGUCUUUUUUCUCUUAUGAUCAUGAUGUCAUGCUGCAGUUUAUCUUCACCAAAAUUGAUUCUAUGUUCUGAACUUAGAUGAUUGUUGAAUUGCACCAGGAGCUAAGACGUAAGAUUUAGCAUUUAACAUCGAAGGGUAGUUGACUUAGCAUAGUAUUUUCUUUAAAACACUUCUCAUCUUUUGCUACGUCAGUGCGACUUUUUGUUCAUGUUUUGCCUUGUGUUAUUCAAUGAAUUUUCAGGGUCCAGCUUUUCUCAAGAUUAAUUUCAUAAUUAGUGUUUUCCUCUUCUCCAGUCCUGUGGGUUAGAUAUGUUUCAUUGUCGUUUCAUAUGAGGUUGUACUACGUUUUAUUUUCACUAACUUGAUAUGUACAGAAUUUUGCCAAUUGCUGAUUUUUGAACCCUUGGCUGGAACGUCGGAUUUUGUAUCUAUGCUCCUUUUCUUGAGUUCGGAGAUUCUGCACCCUUAACUACUGAGGUUCUUGUGGCUAUCGCUAUUAUUAUUGCAGAUGAUGUUGAUCUUUGGGUUAUAUUUAAACAUUUGGAUUUUUGACCCCAUUCUCUCUCUCUCUCUCUCUCUCUCUCCCCGACUCUUAUCAGCUCUUGGUCUUUUAGAUCUCUCUGUCACUAGUGUUUUUAUUCUAAGUUUUGGGUAUUAGUUGCUUAUUGGGGCUUUGUUCUUCUAUAUAUAUAACUGUUUGGGUUGUACUGUGGAAAUUGAUUUAUGCAGAUCGUUGAUUUACACUUGGUUGCGUUUCUGAUUAGAUCUGUUUGGUUCUUAAUCGAUUUCAUUUUGAGUUUGGAUUCAUAUUUCUUAUUCGAUUCCUUCCUAUUUAGGGUUUCUUUUGGUUUAUUUAGCUUAUGGUGGCAUUGAAUUGGGCCUUGUCUUGGUUUCAUCUGUGUUGAAAUAUGCAGAUUAUGCCUACAAUUGUUGAAUGUGGUUUUCGUGAAAUCUUGCUUUCAAUAACAUCAUUCGAGGGUUGAGGAUGGGACUUCCUGUGUCGUGGUAUUAAAUAUGCACGUCCUUCAGAAGCUUCAUUAUAUUUAAUAAUUAGAAUUAGAUCAAGUUUAAUAAAUAAAAUCUUAGUUGAUCAUCUUCACUAGAAUAAUCGGUUUGCACAUAAAUGAGGAGUGGUAGUGAUGAUUAUCCACUAUUAAUAUUAUUAAUAAUAUUGCUCAUGUAAUUUCUGAAAUCAUUUUGACUUUUCUAUGAGUAUCUGGUUUCGCUCGUUGAUUCAGACAGAUGAUUUGAUAUACUUAUAUUCAAUUGAAUUUUCAGGUUGUUGAUAAUCUGCGGCGUCUCAUCCUUAUGGGUUUGACGUAGUAUCAUCUUCCCAUCUUUUUUCUCUCCUUUUUCAUCAUGCCUCCAGUUUUAAAUUUCUUUCUGCCUCCAUUCUUUCUUUUUGGCGUUUUCUUAUAUGCUGUCCAUCUUAGCAUAUUCAUUUUUGUUCAUUAAUUUCAGGUUCUCGACUAAGGGUUCAAUUGUUUUAUCGGGUGUAUUUAAACAAGAAUCUAACCUUGGAAGGGAGUUGUCCUGGACUACUGCUUCCUUUUAAUUUUAGCUUCUUUCUUUGUGAGAUUUUUUGUUCAUGUCUUUUGUUUUGGGUGUUGUAUGUAUUUUUAGGUCUCUGCUUUCACUCAAGACUAAGGCCUCAAAUGUUUUAUCAGGUCUAUUUAAACAAGAAUCUAACCUUGGAAGGGAGUUGUCUUGGACUAGUGUUUCCUUUUAACUUUAGCUUCUGUCUUUGUAAGAUAUUUCGUUCAUAUCUUUUGUUUGGGGUGUUCAAUGAAUUUUCAGGACUCUUCUUUCACUCAAGAAUAUUUUAAAACAUUGAUGCUACUAAAAGGCUUCCAAUUUUUUAACUGGUCUAUUUACACAACAAUAUUUUGGGUGAGAUUUUUCCUGGACUAGUGUUCCCUUUUAACUUUAGCUUUGGUCUGUGAGAUUUUUGAUUCAUUUCUUUAGUUUUGGGUGUUCAAUGGAUUUUCAGGACUCUUCUUUUACUCAAGAAUAAUUUGAAACGUGGACGCGACUAAGAUUUGUCCUGGACUAGUGUUUCCUUUCUUUAGCUCUGGCUUUGUGAGAUUUUUGGUUCAUUUCUUUUGUUUUGGGUGUUCAGUGAAUUUUCAGGACUCCUUUCACUCAAGUAUACUUUAAAUCAUGGAUGCUUUUAUCAUCAUGCUGCAAGUCGUAAUAUUCCUCUGCUUCUUGAUUCUCAUCACUACUUGCUAGACAUGUUCCAUAACCUUUUCAUCUCUUGGUAUUGCAAGGCUGGGUGUUGCUUUGUGAUAAGUAUCUAUUAUCACAGAUGAUUGUCAAAGCUUCACCGAUUGUUGAUCUGCACUUUGGGAAUAGGUUUAGGGUUUUUGUGCAAGUGCUGCUGCUUUUGUUUGUUAUGUUGGUAAACAAUAGUUGAUUUGCUGUGGGUUUUGUGGGUACCCUGUGAUAUUUUUUGCAGAUCCUCUUUCCUCUGAAUUCUAUGGGAUCUGGAUAUACAUUUGCAACCAAGGCGUGUUGGACCUUCACAUUAAAAGGUCAGAUAUUUAAUUUUUGACGUCUUGGUAUAAGCUCACAUAUUUUCUAUAUGUUUUCCUUAGCUUUGAUGGAUGCAGAGCAUCACCAAUGGUUUGGCUUACACUUGGUACUUUGCAUGUGUAUCUAUAUACACAUUUGGAAAUUUUGAUCCAUAUGGCCUCACCAUUUGUGAAAGAAAUCUGGGUUUUUGAUAUGCGACAUUGGGGUAUGUAUGUAUCUAAGCUUUUGAUUUGACUUUUCUGAAUCCUUGAAUUUCUUAAGAGUAACGAGUAACCUACGAAUUUGGACUAGAACCCCGUUGUAUACUCAUUUGCAAGGAAGAAGUUGGUUUUCUGAAAUUUAUCCACUGCCGUGACCUUUGGUUUGAUGCUCUUGAUGCAAUGUCAGUUGUUUUUCGGUAUAAGGUCAAAUAUUUUGUUCUUGGUUUGAACUCAUUAUCCAUAAAUUAUGAUUCAUGCAGAGCAAGGCAUCGUAUGUUUGAACUCAUUUGCCUUUUGGUACCAGACAUUUGGUUUUUAUCAUUAAUUACUGUUAUUGCCCCUCAACUUGCUAUUCUCCGCCAACUGCUGAUUUACAACAUCUUUAUAUGUGGGAAGCUUGAUUGGUGUCUUAUUUAUAAUCCUUUGAAAAAUUAGUGGGACUUCUGAGCAAGCUCUUUUUUAAGUAUGUUUUCGUGAUGGUGUACUGGGUCUAUGUGUUUCAAUGUUUGAUCAUAUUCUAGUUUUGGUGUGGACUACUUAUUAGGAUGUGAUAGUCUGCAUUUCUCUCUGAUAUGUCAAAAUGUCAAAUGCUCAGGGAAGUUAUAAAUAUUUAUAGAAAAACUGGUGAAUUGACAUUUGGUUGGUGGUGAUGUCCUCUUCGGUCAGACUCUAUUUCAAGAGGGUGGUGAUAUUCUGUUAUAUAUUCUUUGAUCGUUCUAUUUCUGAAUGGCUUUGUUGAACGUAUUUGGUAUGUUUUGUUUGCGACAGUUGGUGACACAGUCAUGUUAUUUGAUCAAUCACUUUUGGUGAUACACACCUGACUUUUGAAGUUGUCUUGUGAUUUUUAUCUGGAUUCAAUUUCUCUGGAGCACAUUUGCUGUUUGAAGCUGUUUCGUGAUUUUGAAAGCUUACAUCUUACAAGAAAUGUACCCAUGCUUUCAUAGUAAUUUUGUAUUUGGGUUCUGUUUGUUAUGAAUCUCUAAUUUGAACUCUUACUGCUCGUCAUGUAACUCAUUACGUUUUCCUGAUAAUGUUUAUUCUCUAAAUGUAUCUUUAACUUCAAUAUAGACUUAAUUCUGUCUUGUUUUUCUGUUGUUGAUGGUAUAGAUUUUGUAAGAUGUUUGUUGACUUUUUGUGUGUUGAUAACUGGUGUUUAAUAAACUGACUUCUACUAAAUAUAUAGCUACUGUUUACUGACUUUUUAUACUUGGCUAGUCACACGUUAUAUAAUAACAUAUUUUGCUGUAAAUAUUUUAUGAAUUUAUAAUACUUAGCAAACUCUUGAUUUAAUUUGAAGUCUAAACAAAUGUUAAUCCGAGAAAUAAACCAACAAUAAUCAAGCUAUGCAAUGUUGACCCUAGAAAAAAAAAAGCUAUGCAAUUCAAAAAAUUUCAUUUGCCUUAUGUUAUAAUGUUGACCAUAUGUUAUAUGCAACAAAAACGGGUUUUUUUAUCUCUGUCGCCACUUAAGUUUCUAAACAUGUCAUAUGUAAUUAAUUUAUUAUUCAAUAAUUAAGAAUUCUCUUGAAUAUAUAUUUAUAUAUAUAAAUGCAUACACGUAUAUACAUACAUAUGAAUUUUCUUAUACGGCUAAUGUCAAUUUUUUAAUUUUUUCCUUGUUGGCAUUAUUGAUAAAAUACUUGUAAAAUUCAAUUUGAUCAUUUUAUACCUGGCUUUAAUGGAAUUUUUUUUUUUAAAUGUAUUGAGAGAACAUCCUUGAUCUUACAUUUUAUUUAUUUUCUUCUUCCGAGGCUCUUUGUAGGUGAUGGAAAAUGGCUCAAGGUUAUCUUAGCAUCUGCAUUUGUUUGAUAAUUCAAAGAACUUGACUUGCUUCAAUAUUCCUUUCCUCAAGCGCCUUGGUAGGGUGUUAUCUUACCUUCUCACUACUUCUUCCUUAUACUUGGAUGAGUGGUUUAGUUUUUCUUUUUUGUUUUUUUUUUCCCUUGAAUUUUCUUGUGUUUGGACUUCGAACUUGCAGUUCUUAGGAGAAGCAAUCGUGAUUUCAGAGUUAAUAUUGGAAUUUGUACAAGCUACCUAUUCUGGGAAAAACAGGAAUGCUAGUUUUAUAUUACCUCAUUUUUAAAUUGGCUCUCCCCCAAUAAAGCAGUAUUUAUUUUGUGAAAAGCAAGAAUAUUAGUUUUAUAUUCUUCUCCACUUUAAAAUUCUCUUUCUCUCUCUCUCUCUCUGCUCGUAUUUUCUCAUUAGGCAGUUGCGUCAAUUUUUUUUAUCAGCACUCAUUUGGGCUUUGACUGGGUAGACCUCUAGUAAACUACCUAAAGCUUUCUUGUGAUCAUGGUGUUCCCUUCUCAAUCUUAUCUUGUAUGUAACUUUUUCUUUGAUUUCCUUUUGUUAAUUUCGUGGAACCCUUAUGAUUUGGAGUUUUCUUAAAUCUUUUGUUUUAGGUCUCGAAAUUUCUUUGGUGAGCUGGAGAGGAGGUUUGACAAGUCAUUAAAUCUUAAUUUAGGCCUUUAAUUUUUCUUCAAGCUUUUUAUCUUUCUUUAGUUUCUUUUCACGUAUAUGCAAGCUGCUGUUUGUGCUUUUUUUUGUUAAUUUCAGGCACUUCGGCUGCAGUUUACGAGGUAUAGGAAGAUGAUUCGUUCAGUAUUUCGUGUGGCGUUUCCUGGUCUAAGUAUAUUUGAAGCUAGACUUAUUUUUGUAUUAUUUUUUCUUAAGUUUUAUUUAUGUCUCCAUCCUGAACUUUUCUGUUUGUACGUGUAUUUUUUUUUAUCAUGUUCAUGCAUAGUUUUUAAUUAUUCAGGCUCUUGGUAUGUCUUUGGCCGCAACCAUUCUUGUGUCUGUCUAAGCAGCUUCAACCUUGUGUGGUGGUCUCUAAUCUUAUAUUUUCUUGUCAUAGCUUUUUCUAGAUUUGUUUGAUUGUGUCAUAUCUUUGUUUUAUAUUGGUUUUUAUGCAUUGGUCUUCCAAGGUAUAGUUUUUUUGUAUCUAUUUGUUAUGCAUCAUGGAGAUUCAUAUAUGUUCUACCGACCUAUUUCGUUGUGUCAAAUUUUUGUCUGUUUUGCCUGGUCUUUUCAUCUUGCUUAAUUUGCGACUCAUUUUUCUGAUUACUUUCAUAAUGUUGAUAUACAUUAGUUUCAGGUUAUGGUCAUAGGACCUUUUUAACUGGAUAUGGAUUGGCACUCUUACUGUGCCUUUCUAUGAAUGUCUUCGGCAACCUUUACUUUUAUUUUGUUUAUACUACUUUUUUAGGGUGUUUUUUUGAAGUCAAGUUAUUCAAAAUUGUAGCUUCAUCAUUUUGGGUUUGACAUUACAUGUCUUGUAUUGUAGGAUUUUUGUAUAUUCUUUCCUUUCUAGGUAAUUUCUAGCCGAUGGAGAGAAUGGUUGUUCAAGGCUCAGGUAUAUUUUCUGUUACGUGUAGCUGUAUUGCAGAGGUUGUAAAAUAUUUUCUUUUAUUUCAUAUGUGGUUGUCCUUGUUUUUUUAUAGGCAUUUUUUAUUUGUUUUUUUUUUUUUUAAAUUGGCAUUUUUUAUAUGUUGAUUCUUAGCAUAUGCAUUUUGUUUGAUAGUUGCAGGCUUUCAAUUUUUUUGGGCAUCAGUCUUCUUUACUUUAAUAUAUAUUUCAACAAACAUUUGACCUUAAAGUUGAGUAAACUUUUCAUAGUAUCUUUUUUUAAACGGUAUUUUUAUUUUUCUCUACAUUACGAUUUUUUGUUCAUGUCUUUACUUUGGGUUUUCAAUGAAUUUUUAGCGGUUCAACUUUUCUCAAUAAUAUUUUCCUAAUUGUCUUCAUCUUCUCUAGUCCCAGCACUGUUGGGUUAGUUAUGUUUUGUCAUCUUCUUCUCAUAUGAGGUCAUGUUACGAUAUAUUUUCACUAACUUUAUGUGCAGAAAUUUACCAAUUCUUGAUUUGCAUCCCGAACUGAGACUUCAGAUUUCGUUUCGAUGCUCCUUUUCCUGAUGUGUGGAGGUUCUGUUUGGCAUCUAGUAUGUGUUGUGCGUGUUGCUGGUUGUUUAUUUUAACUAUGUAGGGCUUUAUAGUUAUCUCUAUUAUUAUUGCAUAUGAUAUCAUCUUUGAUUUAUAUUUGAGAUUUAGAUUUAGAUAUAUGCAUCCUUGGUUUGAUUUGGUGUCUUCAAACGGUAUUGCAGUUCUGGUUUCAGUCAUGAUUGGAGUUCCUACAACUGAUCUAUUUUGUGACACAUAAGACCCUACUUUUAUUCAUCUCAUUGUCCAAUUGACUUUCUGUCUCCCUAUACGGUAGUAUUUUCUCGUUCGGUAAAUGUGUCGCUCGUUGUGCGUGUUGCUGGUUGUUUAUUUUAACUAUGUAGGGCUUUAUAGUUAUCUCUAUUAUUAUUGCAUAUGAUAUCAUCUUUGAUUUAUAUUUGAGAUUUAGAUUUAGAUAUAUGCAUCCUUGGUUUGAUUUGGUGUCUUCAAACGGUAUUGCAGUUCUGGUUUCAGUCAUGAUUGGAGUUCCUACAACUGAUCUAUUUUGUGACACAUAAGACCCUACUUUUAUUCAUCUCAUUGUCCAAUUGACUUUCUGUCUCCCUAUACGGUAGUAUUUUCUCGUUCGGUAAAUGUGUCGCUCGUUGUGCGUGUUGCUGGUUGUUUAUUUUAACUAUGUAGGGCUUUAUAGUUAUCUCUAUUAUUAUUGCAUAUGAUAUCAUCUUUGAUUUAUAUUUGAGAUUUAGAUUUAGAUAUAUGCAUCCUUGGUUUGAUUUGGUGUCUUCAAACGGUAUUGCAGUUCUGGUUUCAGUCAUGAUUGGAGUUCCUACAACUGAUCUAUUUUGUGAAACAUAAGACCCUACUUUUAUUCAUCUCAUUGUCCAAUUGACUUUCUGUCUCCCUAUACGGUGGUAUAUUCUCGUUCGGUAAAUGUGUCGCUUGUUGUGCGUGUUGCUGGUUGUUUAUUUUAACUAUGUAGGGCUUUAUAGUUAUCUCUAUUAUUAUUGCAUAUGAUAUCAUCUUUGAUUUAUAUUUGAGAUUUAGAUUUAGAUAUAUGCAUCCUUGGUUUGAUUUGGUGUCUUCAAACAGUAUUGCAGUUCUGGUUUCAGUCAUGAUUGGAGUUCCUACAACUGAUCUAUUUUGUGAAACAUAAGACCCUACUUUUAUUCAUCUCAUUGUCCAAUUGACUCUCUGUCUCCCUAUACGGUGGUAUUUUCUCGUUCGGUAAAAAUGUGUCGCUCGUUUUUUCAGCUUAUGGAGAUAGCUGCCAUGGUUUCACAUAGUCGACACUGGAUUUUCGACAACCUACCGAUUUUAUGAAAAAUAAGAAUUUCAGCUUUACAUAUCUUUUUUAGAAUUGAUUGUCUCCCACUCUCCUUGUAUGGUUUAUUUUCACCUACUUUUUUUUUGGCAGUUUAUUUUUCACUGGAUGGAACUCCUAUGAAUAUUAAAGCUUUGCCUACAAUCAUGCUGGUGUUUUGAGAACAACAUUGCAUUGGUGGUAUCAUAGUCCUCGAUCCCUUUUAACUGUUUUUACUUUUUUAGUGUAUUGUUUAGUUUUCCUUUCUUCUUUGAAUUUUCUUGUUUUGGACUUUGAAUAACAUUGCAGCUCUUAUGAAAAAUAAGAAUGCUAGUUUACUUCUCAUUGUCCAAUUGACUUUCUUUCCCAAUAUAGUUGUAAUUCUCAUUUGGUAAAUGCAUUGUAUUUUUCAGCUUCUUGAGAUAGCUACCAUGGUUUCUCAUAGUCAACACUGAAUUUCCUACAUCGUGAAAAAUAAGAAUUUCAACUCUGCGUACUUGUCCUUUAUUAGGUUGACUAUAUCCCUUUCCCCCUAUAUCUUUUUUCUCAUUUGGUAAAUGUGUCGUUUCUUUCAGUACUUAUUUGAUUUCUUACUCGAUACUAAUCUUGUGAACUAAUUAAAGCUGGCCUGCAAUGGUGGGGUGGUCUUUCAAGAACAAUAUUGCAUUGGUGGUAUUGUUUUCAUUGUACCCUUUUACUUUAUUUACUACUUUACUGCAACGUAUCAUUUAGUUUGCUUUCUUGAAUUUUCUUGAUAUUAGGAUGAAAACUUGUACUCUGUUACCAUCAAGUUACACAAGAAAUUGGGUCAGUGUGCUUGCUCCAUCAAAUUGUUUUAUGAAUUCUCUUAUAUGGCUGGUGACUUUAUCAGUGCUGUUUGCUAAAAAAUUUCGUCUACUAGCUUUUCGUUUGUUAAACAAAUUUUCUGGUUGUUUCAACUUUUUGACAUUAGUCAAAAUGGUUUCUUAUUUAUAUUUGGAACUUUUGAUCAAUACAUGACCAGCAGAGCAUGGUUUAUGUUUAUUUUUAUAUGCUCAUUUUUAUAUUGACUUCCUUUCUCCCUUGAUGAUGGUAUUUUCUCACCUAAAUGCGUUGUAUAUAGGUACUCCAAGUAUUUUCUGAAUCCUCUCAUUUAAUGUGAUAGUGGUGCUACUGGAGGUUUCGCAAUUCAUUCAUCUUAACUUGGGCUUGCAAUCUUUUGUGCUAUGGAAGUCUUCAGUUGAAUUAUUUUAUUAUGCCUGCCCCUUUGUCUUUUUUCUCUUAUGAUCAUGAUGUCAUGCUGCAGUUUAUCUUCACCAAAAUUGAUUCUAUGUUCUGAACUUAGAUGAUUGUUGAAUUGCACCAGGAGCUAAGACGUAAGAUUUAGCAUUUAACAUCGAAGGGUAGUUGACUUAGCACAGUAUUAUCUUUAAAACACUUCUCAUCUUUUGCUACGUCAGUGCGACUUUUUGUUCAUGUUUUGCCUUGUGUUAUUCAAUGAAUUUUCAGGGUCCAGCUUUUCUCAAGAUUAAUUUCAUAAUUAGUGUUUUCCUCUUCUCCAGUCCUGUGGGUUAGAUAUGUUUCAUUGUCGUUUCAUAUGAGGUUGUACUACGUUUUAUUUUCACUAACUUGAUAUGUACAGAAUUUUGCCAAUUGCUGAUUUUUGAACCCUUGGCUGGAACGUCGGAUUUUGUAUCUAUGCUCCUUUUCUUGAGUUCGGAGAUUCUGCACCCUUAACUACUGAGGUUCUUGUGGCUAUCGCUAUUAUUAUUGCAGAUGAUGUUGAUCUUUGGGUUAUAUUUAAAAAUUUGGAUUUUUGACCCCAUUCUCUCUCUCUCUCUCUCUCUCUCUCUCUCUCUCUUAUUAGCUCUUGGUCUUUUAGAUCUCUCUGUCACUAGUGUUUUUAUUCUAAGUUUUGGGUAUUAGUUGCUUAUUGGGGCUUUGUUCUUCUAUAUAUAUUACUGUUUGGGUUGUCUUGAUCGGUUAGUGAUUACUGUGGAAAUUGCUUUAUGCAGAUCGUUGAUUUACACUUGGUUGCGUUUCUGAUUAGAUCGGUUUGGUUCUUAAUCGAUUUCAUUUUGAGUUUGGAUUCAUAUUUCUUAUUCGAUUCCUUCCUAUUUAGGGUUUCUUUUGGUUUAUUUAGCUUAUGGUGGCCUUGAAUUGGGCCUUGUCUUGGUUUCAUCUGUGUUGAAAUAUGCAGAUUAUGCCUACAAUUGUUGAAUGUGGUUUUCGUGAAAUCUUGCUUUCAAUAACAUCAUUCGAGGGUUGAGGAUGGGACUUCCUGUGUCGUGGUUGUUGAUAAUCUGUGGCGUCUCAUCCUUAUGGGUUUGACAUAGUAUCAUCUUCCCAUCUUUUUUCUCUCCUUUUUCAUCAUGCCUCCAGUUUUAAAUUUCUUUCUGCCUCCAUUCUUUCUUUUCGGCGUUUUCUUAUAUGCUGUCCAUCUUAGCAUAUUCAUUUUUGUUCAUUAAUUUCAGGUUCUCGACUAAGGGAUCAAUUGUUUUAUCGGGUGUAUUUAAACAAGAAUCUAACCUUGGAAGGGAGUUGUCCUGGACUACUGCUUCCUUUUAAUUUUAGCUUCUUUCUUUGUGAGAUUUUUUGUUCAUGUCUUUUGUUUUGGGUGUUGUAUGAGUUUUUAGGUCUCUGCUUUCACUCAAGACUAAGGCCUCAAAUGUUUUAUCAGGUCUAUUUAAACAAGAAUCUAACCUUGGAAGGGAGUUGUCUUGGACUAGUGUUUCCUUUUAACUUUAGCUGUCUUUGUAAGAUAUUUCGUUCAUUUCUUUUGUUUGGGGUGUUCAAUGAAUUUUCAGGACUCUUCUUUCACUCAAGAAUAUUUUAAAACAUUGAUGCUACUAAAAGGCUUCAAAUUGUUUAACUGGUCUAUUUACUCAACAAUAUUUUGGGUGAGAUUUUUCCUGGACUAGUGUUUCCUUUUAACUUUAGCUUCGGUCUGUGAGAUUUUUGAUUCAUUUCUUUAGUUUUGGGUGUUCAAUGGAUUUUCAGGACUCUUCUUUUACUCAAGAAUAAUUUGAAACGUGGACGCGACUAAGAUUUGUCCUGGACUAGUGUUUCCUUUCUUUAGCUCUGGCUUUGUGAGACUUUUGGUUCAUUUCUUUUGUUUUGGGUGUUCAGUGAAUUUUAAAGACUCUUUUCACUCAAGUAUACUUUAAAUCAUGGAUGCUUUUAUCAUCAUGCUGCAAGUCGUAAUAUUCCUAUGCUUCUCGAUUCUCAUCACUACUUGCUAGACAUGUUCCAUAACCUUUUCAUCUCUUGGUAUUGCAAGGCUGGGUGUUGCUUUGUGAUAAGUAUCUAUUAUCACAGAUGAUUGUCAAAGCUUCACCGAUUGUUGAUCUGCACUUCGGGAAUAGCUUUAGGGUUUUUGUGCAAGUGUUGCUCCUUUUGUUUGUUAUGUUGGUAAACAAUAGUUGAUUUGCUGUGGGUUUUGUGGGUACCCUGUGAUAUUUUUUGCAGAUCCUCUUUCCUCUGAAUUCUAUGUGGGAUCUGGAUAUACAUUUGCAACCAAGGCGUGUUGGACCUUCACAUUAAAAGGUCAGAUAUUUAAUUUUUGACGUCUUGGUAUAAGCUCACAUAUUUUCUAUAUGUUUUCCUUAGCUUUGAUGGAUGCAGAGUAUCACCAAUGGUUUGGCUUACACUUGGUACUUUGCAUGUGUAUCUAUAUACGCAUUUGGAAAUUUUGAUCCAUAUGGCCUCACCAUUUGUGAAAGAAAUCUGGGUUUUUGAUAUGCGACAUUGGGGUAUGUAUGUAUCUAAGCUUUUGAUUUGACUUUUCUGAAUCCUUGAAUUUCUUAAGAGUAACGAGUAACCUACGAAUUUGGACUAGAACCCCGUUGUAUACUCAUUUGCAAGGAAGAAGUUGGUUUUCUGAAAUUUAUCCACUGCCGUGACCUUUGGUUUGAUGCUCUUGAUGCAAUGUCAGUUGUUUCUCGGUAUAAGGUCAAAUAUUUUGUUCUUGGUUGAACUCAUUAUCCAUAAAUUAUGAUUCAUGCUGAGCGAGGCAUCGUAUGUUUGAACUCAUUUGCCUUUUGGUACCAGACAUUUGGUUUUAUCAUUAAUUACUGUUAUUGCCCCUCAACUUGCUAUGCUCCGCCAACUGCUGAUUUACAACAUCUUUAUAUGUGGGAAGCUUGAUUGGUGUCUUAUUUAUAAUCCUUUGAAAAAUUAGUGGGACUUCUGAACAAGCUCUUUUUUAAGUAUGUUUUCGUGAUAAUGUACUGGGUCUAUGAGUUUCAAUGUUUGAUCAUAUUCUAGUUUUGGUGUGGACUACUUAUUAGGAUGUGAUAGUCUGCAUUUCUCUCUGAUAUGUCAAAAUGUCAAAUGCUCAGGGAAGUUAUAAAUAUUUAUAGAAAAACUGGUGAAUUGACAUUUGGUUGGUGGUGAUGUCCUCUUCGGUCAGACUCUAUUUCAAGAGGGUGGUGAUAUUCUGCUAUAUAUUCUUUGAUCGUUCUAUUUCUGAAUGGCUUUGUUGAACGUAUUUGGUAUGUUUUGUUUGCGACAGUUGGUGACACAGUCAUGUUAUUUGAUCAAUCACUUUUGGUGAUACACACCUGACUUUUGAAGUUGUCUUGUGAUUUUUAUCUGGAUUCAAUUUCUCUGGAGCACAUUUGCUGUUUGAAGCUGUUUCGUGAUUUUGAAAGCUUACAUCUUACAAGAAAUGUACCCAUGCUUUCAUAGUAAUUUUGUAUUUGGGUUCUGUUUGUUAUGAAUCUCUAAUUUGAACUCUUACUGCUCGUCAUGUAACUCAUUACGUUUUCCUGAUAAUGUUUAUUCUCUAAAUGUAUCUUUAACUUCAAUAUAGACUUAAUUCUGUCUUGUUUUUCUGUUGUUGAUGGUAUAGAUUUUGUAAGAUGUUUGUUGACUUUUUGUGUGUUGAUAACUGGUGUUUAAUAAACUGACUUCUACUAAAUAUAUAGCUACUGUUUACUGACUUUUUAUACUUGGCUAGUCACACGUUAUAUAAUAACAUAUUUUGCUGUAAAUAUUUUAUGAAUUUAUAAUACUUAGCAAACUCUUGAUUUAAUUUGAAGUCUAAACAAAUGUUAAUCCGAGAAAUAAACCAACAAUAAUCAAGCUAUGCAAUGUUGACCCUAGAAAAAAAAAAGCUAUGCAAUUCAAAAAAUUUCAUUUGCCUUAUGUUAUAAUGUUGACCAUAUGUUAUAUGCAACAAAAACGGGUUUUUUUAUCUCUGUCGCCACUUAAGUUUCUAAACAUGUCAUAUGUAAUUAAUUUAUUAUUCAAUAAUUAAGAAUUCUCUUGAAUAUAUAUUUAUAUAUAUAAAUGCAUACACGUAUAUACAUACAUAUGAAUUUUCUUAUACGGCUAAUGUCAAUUUUUUAAUUUUUUCCUUGUUGGCAUUAUUGAUAAAAUACUUGUAAAAUUCAAUUUGAUCAUUUUAUACCUGGCUUUAAUGGAAUUUUUUUUUUUAAAUGUAUUGAGAGAACAUCCUUGAUCUUACAUUUUAUUUAUUUUCUUCUUCCGAGGCUCUUUGUAGGUGAUGGAAAAUGGCUCAAGGUUAUCUUAGCAUCUGCAUUUGUUUGAUAAUUCAAAGAACUUGACUUGCUUCAAUAUUCCUUUCCUCAAGCGCCUUGGUAGGGUGUUAUCUUACCUUCUCACUACUUCUUCCUUAUACUUGGAUGAGUGGUUUAGUUUUUCUUUUUUGUUUUUUUUUCCCUUGAAUUUUCUUGUGUUUGGACUUCGAACGUGCAGUUCUUAGGAGAAGCAAUCGUGAUUUCAGAGUUAAUAUUGGAAUUUGUACAAGCUACCUAUUCUGGGAAAAACAGGAAUGCUAGUUUUAUAUUACCUCAUUUUUAAAUUGGCUCUCCCCCAAUAAAGCAGUAUUUAUUUUGUGAAAAGCAAGAAUAUUAGUUUUAUAUUCUUCUCCACUUUUAAAUUCUCUCUCUCUCUCUCUGCUCGUAUUUUCUCAUUAGGCAGUUGCGUCAAUUUUUUUUAUCAGCACUCAUUUGGCUUUUGACUGGGUAGACCUCUAGUAAACUACCUAAAGCUUUCUUGUGAUCAUGGUGUUCCCUUCUCAAUCUUAUCUUGUAUGUAACUUUUUCUUUGAUUUCCUUUUGUUAAUUUCGUGGAACCCUUAUGAUUUGGAGUUUUCUUAAAUCUUUUGUUUUAGGUCUCGAAAUUUCUUUGGUGUGCUGGAGAGGAGGUUUGACAAGUCAUUAAAUCUUAAUUUAGGCCUUUAAUUUUUCUUCAAGCUUUUUAUCUUUCUUUAGUUUCUUUUCACGUAUAUGCAAGCUGCUGUUUGUGCUUUUUUUUUUUAAUUUCAGGCACUUUGGCUGCAGUUUACAAGGUUUAGGAAGAUGAUUCGUUCAGUAUUUCGUGUGGCGUUUCUUGGUCUAAGUAUAUUUGAAGCUAGACUUAUUUUUGUAUUAUUUUUUCUUAAGUUUUAUUUAUGUCUCCAUCCUGAACUUUUCUGUUCGUACGUGUAUUUUUUUUAUCAUGUUCAUGCAUAGUUUUUAAUUAUUCAGGCUCUUGGUAUGUCUUUGGCCGCAACCAUUCUUGUGUCUGUCUAAGCAGCUUCAACCUUGUGUGGUGGUCUCUAAUCUUAUCUUUUCUUGUCAUAGCUUUUUCUAGAUUUGUUUGAUUGUGUCAUAUCUUUGUUACAUAUUGGUUUUUAUGCAUUGGUCUUCCAAGGUAUAGUUUUUUUGUAUCUAUUUGUUAUGCAUCAUGGAGAUUCAUAUUUGUUCUGCUGACCUAUUUCGUUGUGUCAAAUUUUUGUCUGUUUUGCCUGGUCUUUUCAUCUUGCUUAAUUUGCGACUCAUUUUUCUGAUUACUUUCAUAAUGUUGAUAUACAUUAGUUUCAGGUUAUGGUCAUAGGACCUUUUUAACUGGAUAUGGAUUGGCACUCUUUACUUCUACUGUGCCUUUCUAUGAAUGUCUUCAGCAACCUUUACUUUUAUUUUGUUUAUACUAUUUUUUUAGGGUGUUUUUUUGAAGUCAAGUUAUUCAAAAUAUUAGCUUCAUCUUUUUGGGUUUGACAUUACAUGUCUUGUAUUGUAGGAUUUUUGUAUAUUCUUUCCUUUCUAGGUAAUUUCUAGCCGAUGGAGAGAAUGGUUGUUCAAGGCUCAGGUAUAUUUUCUGUUUCGUGUAGCUGUAUUGCGGAGGUUGUAAAAUAUUUUCUUUUAUUUCAUAUGUAGUUGUCCUUAUUUUUUUAUAGGCAUUUUUUAUAUGUUGAUUCUUAGCAUAUGCAUUUUGUUUGAUAGUUGCAGGCUUUCAACUUUCUUGGGCAUCAGUCUCUUUACUUUUAAUAUAUAUUUUAACAAACAUUUGACCUUAAAGUUGAGUAAACUUUUCAUAGUAUCUUUUCUUAAACGGUAUUUUUAUUUUUAGCUACAUUACAAUUUUUUGUUCAUGUCUUUACUUUGGGUGUUCAAUGAAUUUUUAGCGGUUCAACUUUUCUCAAUAAUAUUUUCCUAAUUGUCUUCAUCUUCUCUAGUCCCAGCACCGUUGGGUUAGUUAUGUUUUGUCAUCUUCUUUUCAUAUGAGGUCAUGUUACGAUAUAUUUUCACUAACUUGAUAUGUGCAGAAAUUUACCAAUUCUUGAUUUGCAUCCCGAACUGAGACUUCAGAUUUCGUUUCUAUGCUCCUUUUCCUGAUGUGUGGAGGUUCUGUUUGGUAUCUAGUAUGUGUUGUGCGUGUUGCUGGUAGUUUAAUUUAACUAUGUAGGGCUUUAUAGUUAUCUCUAUUAUUAUUGCAUAUGAUGUCAUCUUUGAUUUAUAUUUGAGAUUUAGAUUUAGAUAUAUGCAUCCUUGGUUUGAUUUGGUGUCUUUAAACGGUAUUGCAGUUCUGGUUUCAGUCAUGAUUUGAGUUCCUACAACUGAUCUAUUUUGUGAAACAUAAGACCCUACUUUUAUUCAUCUCAUUGUCCAAUUGACUCUGUCUCCCUAUACGGUGGUAUUUUCUCGUUUGGUAAAUGUGUCGCUCGUUUUUUCAGCUUAUGGAGAUAGCUGCCAUGGUUUCACAUAGUCGACACUGGAUUUUCGACAACCUACCGAUUUUAUGAAGAAUAAGAAUUUCAGCUUUUCAUAUCCUUUUUAGAAUUGAUUGUCUCCCACUCUCCUUGUAUGGUUUAUUUUCACCUACUUUUUUUUUGGCAGUUUAUUUUUCGCUGGAUAGAACUCCUAUGAAUAUUAAAGCUUUGCCUACAAUCAUGCUGGUGUUUUGAGAACAACAUUACAUUGGUGGUAUCAUAGUCCUCGAUCCCUUUUAACUGUUUUUACUUUUUUAGUGUAUUGUUUAGUUUUCCUUUCUUCUUUGAAUUUUCUUGUUUUGGACUUCGAAUAACAUUGCAGCUCUUAUGAAAAAUAAGAAUGCUAGUUUACUUCUCAUUGUCCAAUUGACUUUCUUUCCCAAUAUGGUUGUAAUUCUCAUUUGGUAAAUGCAUUGUAUAUUUCAGCUUCUUGAGAUAUCUACCAUGGUUUCUCAUAGUCAACACUGAAUUUCCUACAUCGUGAAAAAUAAGAAUUUCAGCUCUGCGUACUUGUCCUUUAUUAGGUUGACUGUAUCCCUUUCCCCCUAUAUCUUUUUUCUCAUUUGGUAAAUGUCGUUUAUUUCAGUACUUAUUUGAUUUCUUACUGGAUACUUAUCUUGUGAACUUAUUAAAGCUGGCCUGCAAUGGUGGGGUGGUCUUUCAAGAACAAUAUUGCAUUGGUAGUAUUGUUUUCAUUGUACCCUUUUACUUUAUUUACUACUUUACUGCAACGUAUCAUUUAGUUUGCUUUCUUGAAUUUUCUUGAUAUUAGGAUGAAAACUUGUACUCUGUUACCAUCAAGUUACACAAGAAAUUGGGUUAGUAUGCUUGCUCCAUCAAAUUGUUUUAUGAAUUCUGUUAUAUGGCUGGUGACUUUAUCAGUGCUGUUUGCUAAAAAAUUUCGUCUACUAGCUUUUCGUUUGUUAAACAAAUUUUCUGGUUGUUUCAACUUUUUGACAUAAGUCAAAAUUGGGCGGGCUUUGGUUUGACAUAACAUAUUAACAUCCUCAACCUUGCAUUUUAUUUUUCAUUUAAUGUGUUACAUUGUUUGGAUUUUGGUCUGUCUUUAUAUAGGUGAUGGAAAAUGGUUCAAGGCUAUCUUAGCUUAUGCAUUUGUUCAUUAUUUUAAGCUCUUGACUUGCUUGAGUAUUCCUAUCUUAACAUGCAUCUUGGCACCUUCGAAGGGAGUUAUCUCGUUCUUGUAUUUUUCUUUAAUUGAUUAGCAUUUGCUGUAUUGUAUUUUGAGUGUGUGAAUAUCAGUCUGUAGGUGAAUUUUCAGGUAUGUCACUCGAGAGUGCAAUGAAGCUGUUUGAUAGUUUGCUUCACCUAUUUUAUUACUUUGUUUAUUUCUGCAUGUAUAUGGUUUAUUUAUCCUGGCUUUUCAGGGUUUUCCUUUCAAUGUGGACAUGUUUUCAGAAGAUGUUUCAAACGUUGGAGUGUUGGUCGGUAUUCAACUUGGCCAACUAUUUACUGAUAGUUUCAGUCUUUAGUUAUUUAUCUUCACGCUGCAGUUUUCACAAUUCUUCAAUCUCACAUAGUUUUAGUAGUAUAUCUCGUUUGAGAGGGUGAAUAAAAGCAUUUAUGUAAUAGCUUUGCAUUAUGUGUUAACUGCAGAUUUGGGAUAUCUGGUAUUAUCUGCUGUUUGUGUUGCCCAGUGCCCACAUCUGGUAUAAUGAAAUCUCACUCCUGUUUUUUUUUUUUGUUUUUAAUAUGGUAUAUUGGACUUGGCUUUUGCUCUCUCGUACUGCUCCAAGUAUUUUAAGUAUGGUAUAUGGUCAUUUGCCGCAGUGAUUAUGUUUAUAGUUGGUUGUUUUGGACAUUGACAGUUUGGGAGAUUUGAGCCACUGUGUUAAAUUAUUCAAAAAAUUGAACUACAUGUAUUUUUGUGGUCCACACUGUUUGAAGUCUUAUGUUGUUGACAUUAAUGAAAUGUAUCCAAUUUUAUUUUUUGUGUU